rnacentral:tRNA from 1 species
UGGCUCAGCGGUGAAGAGCACUGGCUGCUCUUCCAGAGGACCUGGGUUCAAUUCCCAG